rnacentral:rRNA from 1 species
AGUGAACGCUGGCGGCAGGCCUAAUACAUGCAAGUCGAGCGGCCGCACAGUAAGAUCUUGCUUCUACCGGUGGCGGGUGGCGGAUGAGUGAGAAAUACAUAGGAUACUAAUAUUUCUUGGGGGACUUCGUAGAGAAACAUCUGCUACUACAUCAUAUAUCGUACCGGUGAAUUCAGGAGUGCUUCGCACUUUUCCUGUUUGUUUGAGCUGAUGUCGGAUUACCUAGUGUGCGUGGUAAAGGCCCACCAAGGCGACGAUCCGUAGCUGGUCUGAGAGGAUGAUCAGCCACACUGGAACUGAGACACGGUCCAGACUCCUACGGGAGGCAGCAGUGGGGAAUAUUGGACAAUGGGCGCAAGCCUGAUCCAGCCAUACCGCGUGGGUGAAGAAGGCCUUCGGGUUGUAAAACUCUUUUGUUAGGAAAGAAAAGCAGCAUAUGAAAACCCCGCUGUUCUGACGGUACCCAAAGAGUAAGCACCGGCUAACUUCGUG